AUGAGAACACUGGGAAUACUUCUCCAACAGGUUGGAUGGAAGAUGCUUUGGGUGCCUUGAGGUCUCCUGCAGGAGUGUCUGCAGGGAGGACUUUUCCAGCUCCUGGGCUGGUUGCUCCACGGUGGUCCAGCUCACAUGGCAGGGGUCCUCCAAGAGGCAGGAAUCAACCUCCAGGAGACAAACCAUCUCAGGAGGCACUGGAACUUCUGGACCAAAUGCUGAAUGAACUGGAGAGACAGA